CUCUUUGUGUUUUGAUUUCGUAGUUUUGAGUUUUGAAUUCAUUUUGUGUUUUGUGUUUUCAGAGUCAGUUUUGAAAUUGUUGAAAAUACGUUCUUUUUGUUAUUUUGCAAAAUUGUUUCUCAAAACACAAAAAUGAAAAACACGUUUGCUUUGAAAUUUUCAAAAUAAUUUUUUAUAAUAUUUUGUUGAAAAAACUGACACAACACCACCAUAACACCACCACAAAAGCCGACCAAAAUCAAUACCACCACAACGCUGCCACCAGUCACCAUUGUCAACCACUGCCAAAAUCAACACCAACACCAACACCCAUCAACCAAAAUCAACCACCGCCACCGCCACCGCCAAAAUCAACACCACCACUACUACCAUGAACCAUCAAAAAUUGUCAUUGCCGUCGCCACCACAUAGGAAGAAAAUCGGCAACAGAGGGGGGGGGGUACGCGGAAAACAUAGAAGAAAGAAGAACCACAUCAAUUCAAUUCAUCAAGCAUAUCAUCACAGUGAAGAUUAAUUCAACCAAUUCAGCCACCACAUCAUCGUCGUCGACCGUCACCACCACCAUCUAACAAAUUAACCGAAAUCAACACCAACACUACCACUACCAUCAACUGCCAUUGCUAUCAGAUCAAAAAAGGGAAAAAAAAACCCAACUGCAUAGAGUGAAAAGAGGACGAACUACAGCCGACGUUGAAGAGCGCGCUGCUACGACCUUCGUCUCCCCGAACCCCAGCCAUCGUCGAAGAGAGAGGAGAUAGAGACGAGCCCACACCGACAAUAGCCUUGCGAUGAAUGGGUACGACGUAGGCGACGCUGCAACACCCCACACUGAUGCCGGCAUCGAGGCAUAUCCUUCGUCGCCUCUCCACACUAGCGCCGGCAAAAGAGAGGAGGAAGAGAAGGUGCAAGUGUGCAAUGAAGAGAGGAGGGAGAUGGACGAGUCUGAAGAAAACGUGAAGGUGCAAGUGUGCCGC
rnacentral:lncRNA from 1 species